AACCCCCAAAAAAUAAAUCUUAAAUGGUUUAACCGGUUAAGAACGGUUAAACGCACACCUCUGGUUUGAUAACUCUGCUUAUGAUAACUAUUAGCUAUUAGUUAAAAAAAGAGAAGAAGGCAAUAAUAGUAAGCUAAAACGGAAUCAGGACACCAUAAGUUUUUUUUUUUUUCUAUUAACAUUUAAAAACAGGUUGGUCCUAGUUAGAAAGUAGAAACUGCGGUAAAUUCCCGCGGGUUAAAUCAGGACAAGAGAAAUCAUACGUUUUAAACUGUAAGGAUAUAAUACUUUCACAGCUCUGGCAGAGUCAUCAAACAAGUUAGAUGACUCUGGCUCUGCUGGGGAAAGUUUUAACUAUUAACUUGGCAUCAG